AUGCCGCCACUGACAAUCCGAGAUCCGACCAUACGCAAAGCUGGCCGCCAUCGCUGCGCCGCAGGACCCGACCAGCCGUGCCUCCACAAGCCGGGGGACCUGGCCCACCCCAAGCCUUGGGAGAGAAGGAAAGACCCCCGUCACCGCCAUUUGCCCCCAGGCUUAGCCCGACGGCGUCACACAGUGGCGACGGGAGGAGAGGAGGGAGUAGAUCGGGGCUCGGCGGCGGCUAGGGUAGCAGCCCGGCCGAGCUGCCCGAUGCGCUCAUAUGUUCAAUCUGAUAACCAAAACUGGGUCCUCUACCGAGCAACUGUCCAGUCCAGUGCCAGCCACGCAUUAACUGGAAUCAACAUUGUCUGCACACUGAAAACCACUGGCAAAAUCAAUUCACAAGCAGAGGGAGAUAGCCCAGAAGAAAAUGUAGAUAAAUCGUCGCCUUACCAUGAAUCACUGGGCCACAUAACCAUCCGGAACAUAGACGAAGACACACGGUUCCCUUCAGCAGAAUCAUGGGUGACAGAAGGCAAGUACAUCUCUUGGUCAAGCAAUUCCAACACGUCUAAGCUUCUGAAUCUGAAAAUUAACUGGAAGCUGAAUACCAGCCAUCAAGCAUCAUUCAUGAAAUAUAACAUAUAUGUGGAGAAGUUGCUUGCUGAUUCAAAUGCCGAGGCUUCCUGA
rnacentral:rRNA from 1 species